GCCGGGCGCGGUGGCGCCUGCCUGUGGUCCCAGCUACUGGGGAGGCUGAGGCGGGAGGAUCGCCUGAGCCCAGGGGUUCUGGGCUGUAGUGCGUUAUGCCGAUCGGGUGUCCGCAGUAAGUUCAGCAUCAAUAUGGUGACCUCCCGGGAGCAGGGGACCACCAGGUUGCCUAAGGAGGGGCGAACAGGCCCAGGUCGGAAACGGAGCAGGUCAAAACUCCCGUGCUGAUCAGUAGUGGGAUCGCACCUGUGAAUAGCCACUGCACUGCAGCCUGGGCAACGUAGCGAGACCCCGUCUCU
rnacentral:SRP_RNA from 1 species